rnacentral:ncRNA from 1 species
NNNNNNNNNNNNNNNNNNNNNNNNNNGCUGAGUUUAAGCAUAUCACUAAGCGGAGGAACCGAAACUAACAAGGAUUUCCCUAGUAGCGGCGAGCGAAACGGAAAGAGCCCAGCUUGGAAAUCGGGGUGUCUCUGCACCCCGAAUUGUAGUCUGGAGAAGGGUCCUCUGCAGCGGACCGGGUUUAAGUCCCUUGGAACGGGACGCCAGAGAGGGUGAGAGCCCCGUCUAGCCCGGACCCUGCUGCAUCACGAGGCUCUUUCGGCGAGUCGGGCUGUUUGGGAAUGCAGCCUUAAGUGGGUGGUAAAUUCCAUCCAAGGCUAAAUACUGGUGAGAGACCGAUAGCGCACAAGUACCGCGAGGGAAAGAUGAAAAGGACUUUGAAAAGAGAGUUAAAAAGUGCUUGAAAUUGCUGGGAGGGAAGCGAAUGGAUGCCUUGUGCGCCCCUUGGUUGUGUGUGGAACGGCGAGAGCUGGUCUGCCAAGCAAUGCAAGGGGCUGUCCAGCAUGGGAGGACGCGGCGGGAUAACGGCUUGUGAGCCUCUGGCUCCCUGCCAAUGCCGCCGCUGCCUCUGAAAAUGGCGGGGUGCUCCGGUGCCCCGCCAGAUGCUGGAACUUGGGCGUUCCAUCCGACCCGUCUUGAAACACGGACCAAGGAGUCUAACAUGUAUGCGAGUCUGUGGGUGUUAAACCCGUACAGGCGAAAGGAAACUAAUUCGUGGGAUCCCCUUCGGGGGUGCACCACGGACCGACCUUGAUCUUUUGAGAAGGGUUUGAGUGUUAGCAUACCUGCUGGGACCCGAAAGAUGGUGAACUAUGCCUGAGCAGGGCGAAGCCAGAGGAAACUCUGGUGGAGGCUCGUAGCGAUACUGACGUGCAAAUCGUUCGUCAGACUUGGGUAUAGGGGCGAAAGACUAAUCGAACCAUCUAGUAGCUGGUACCCUCCGAAGUUUCCCUCAGGAUAGCUGGAGCUCUUGCUGAGUUUUAUCGGGUAAAGCGAAUGAUUAGAGGCAUCGGGGGUGAAACACCCUCGACCUAUUCUCAAACUUUAAAUAGGUAAAGCAGCCGGGGUUGCUCUGUUGAGCCCCGGCCGUGAAUGCGAGCUCCAAGUGGGCCAUUUUUGGUAAGCAGAACUGGCGAUGCGGGAUGAACCGAAAGCCGGGCUACGGUGCCAAAGUGCGCGCUAACCCAGAUCCCACAAAGGGUGUUGAUUGAUUAAGACAGCAGGACGGUGGUCAUGGAAGUCGAAAUCCGCUAAGGAGUGUGUAACAACUCACCUGCCGAAUCAACUAGCCCCGAAAAUGGAUGGCGCUUAAGCGCGCGGCCUAUGCCCGGCCAUCAAGGCGAUUGCGAGGCCCCGAUGAGUAGGAGGGCGUGGGUUAAAUGGUCUGUGGUGCGUCAGAUAUUGACUCCGUCUGUCAAGCCUGCCGUCUUCCUUCUCUUUAAAGAGAAACUUUUUU